UUGGGUUAAGUCCCGGCAACGAGCGCAACCCCUAUUGAUAGUUGCUAAUAUUAAGUUAAGGACUCUAUUGAGACUGCCAGCGACAAGCUGGAGGAAGGUGGGGAUGACGUCAAAUCAUCAUGCCCUUUAUGACCUGGGCUACAAACGUACUACAAUGGCCAGAUACAAAGAGAUGCGAAGCCGCGAGGUGGAGCGAACCUCAUAAAAAUGGUCUCAGUUCGGAUUGGAGUCUGCAACUCGACUCCAUGAAGUCGGAAUCGCUAGUAAUCGCGGGUCAGCAGACCGCGGUGAAUACGUUCCCGGGCCUU
rnacentral:rRNA from 1 species